UACGGGGGGGGGCAAGCGUUUGUUCGGGAAUUACUGGGCGUAAAGGGUGCGUAGGCGGGUCUUUUAAGUCAGGGGUGAAAUCCUGGAGCUCAACUCCAGAACUGCCUUUGAUACUGAAGAUCUUGAGUUCGGGAGAGGUGAGUGGAACUGCGAGUGUAGAGGUGAAAUUCGUAGAUAUUCGCAAGAACACCAGUGGCGAAGGCGGCUCACUGGCCCGAUACUGACGCUGAGGCACGAAAGCGUGGGGAGCAAACAGGG
rnacentral:rRNA from 1 species